UUUCUCUUUUCCUUUUCUUUCUUUUUCUUCUUUUCCUUUCCCCCUCUUUCUCUUGCACACUUUUCUCUUCUUCUCUCUUUUUCUUCCUCUCUCUCCCCCACCCGGCAAUAUCCUCUUCCUCUCUUCUUUUUCUCUUCUUUCACGCAGCUCACCCGUUCUCUCCCCCAUCUCCUUCUUCUUUUCGUCCCUUUUAUCACACACACCUGGGACCGUAAGAGUGAUGAGCCGAUCAAGAUGGAGCUCGAGAAAGAGAGAUUCUGCCGAGAGAGAUGAGCCGUGAUUGAGAGUGAGAUGCGAUUCUGAGAUGGAGUGUUGCUGCCUGGCCUUUGAAGAACGACUUUGAUGCUUUGACUGCAGGUUCAGUGGAUCUAAUGAAUGACGUCAUAGCCUAGUACUUGGGAUGUUAUGACUGAAGCCCGACGCGACAGUUAUAAUGGUUGGACCAUGUAUUGUCCGCCUUUUGGUAGACUUUGUUUAUGGCUCGUGUCGCCUGUGACACUUGUAUUUAUGAGCCAGUCUUUUGGUAUGUAUUUAAUAGCUAUGUAGAAGCCUUAAAUAGAUAGAUAUAUUAAUGGCUCUUUUGUUGUGAUUGACUGUUGUUUAUAGAUGUACCUUCCGCUAUGUUGAUAAGGUUAUUAUGUGUUAUCCGCUGCGUAGAUGUAACUCUGAUUAUCAGGUACUUGUUAUGGAAUGUGUACCAUAUGUUGGCUGA